rnacentral:rRNA from 1 species
CACGUGUGAGUGGCAUAGACGUGAUAGCCCUGUAUCUGAAGGGCCAUUUCAGUGAAGACGAGUAGGGCGGGGCACGUGUAAAUCCUGUCUGAACAUGGGGGGACCAUCCUCCAAGGCUAAAUACUACUGACCGACCGAUAGUGAACCAGUACCGUGAGGGAAAGGCGAAAAGAACCCCGGAGAGGGGAGUGAAAUAGAACCUGAAACCGUGUGCGUACAAGCAGUAGGAGCUCCGCAAGGAGUGACUGCGUAA